GAGAAAAUACACUUGCAUUUUACUCUAUCUCUGGCACAGCCCACUUACAUUUUAUCUCUUGUCAUGCAUUUAAUGAUACUACCAAGUUGGAAAGUAAAGUCACGUUAAAGUCAGUGGUUUUAUGAAGUUUACAAGCUCAAACUCACAUGGACCCUGCACUGGAUUCGCACAUUCUUAGUUCCAAGUGUUGGUAUCAGACAUGAAACUCUUGACCACUCCCAUAGACAUUGCUCAACUUCUUACAUUUUGAUAUUAACAUAGAAAAAUUACAAGCACAUACUUAGAAAAAAAGCUCUCUGAUCCAUUCUUAUUGUUUGUUGUGUUAUUACCGCCUUGCCUUACAAAAUGUAGACGUCAUUAUUUACGUUUCCUUGCAUUUCUUGCCAAUCCUCCGCAACUGGGUCAUGAUAUAAUACAUAGUUAAUGUUUGUUCGGCUACUUCUGCUUUUUCAUGCUUAGCCCAUGUUGGUACUAAUCUUCGUGUAGUGGUUUGAAAUAAAUAGGUGAUAAAAGAAUAUAUAGAGAUACACCUACUAUACAACUUACCCCAGAUUUCCUGAGCUUGCAUCACUACAAUACAUAUCCAGCAGUUAUAUCAAUAAACUACAGGCUUUGCACUACUUUUAUAUUCUGACACAGCAACGGGAGGAAAAAUAGCCUGUUGUUGCAGAAAGUUACAAUGAUCUGGUUAUCAUUCUUGCUUGCAGUUCUAAUUCGAAAAUAUCUCAAAAGAAGUAAAAAAAAGACUAAUGUAUGGUAGGUCAUGCAUACUUACGCUCCGUUCGGAAUCCCUCCGCUCCGUAACUCCGCCGCGGAGCGGAGCGGCAUACAGUACAAAUACGGAGAGUGGCAAACAAGCUGCUCCGCGCGCUCCGCUCCCUGGUGACGGAGCGGUGGAUUGCCGAACACAGCCUUAGUGUUGGUUGCCUCCUUGUUGCAAACUAACUAAGCUAUAAUAUGUUCCUGUGGAACCCUUUGACAUGAGGGACGAGUGUGUGCCCUUUUCCACAAUAAUUCCUUUGUCAAGCACGGCGAUUAGGUCACAGUUUUGGAUCGUGCUGAGCCUGUGUGCCACAACCAAACUUGUCCUGCCGACCAGUACUCUCUCCAGUGCUUCAUGUACAACCUUUUCGGAUUGGCUGUCCAGUGCACUUGUAGCCUCGUCCAGUAGCAAUAUGGCUGGGUCCUUCAGGAUGGCACGGGCCACGGCAAUGCGUUGCUUCUGCCCUCCUGAGAGCUGAACACCUCUCUCGCCACACCAUGUGCCAUAUCCAUCCGCGAGGGUGCUGAUGAAGUCAUGUGCGUUGGCAGACCUUGCGGCAUUCUCAAUUUCUUCCUCACUUGCCGUUUCUGUGCCAUACACAAUGUUCUCUCUGAUUGUGCCUGCAAAUAGAGUUGGCUCCUGGCUGACCAGGCCAAUGUGCCGCCGCAGGGCUUGAAGAUUAUAUGUUUUGAUGUCCCUGCCAUCAAUUUUCACCAUUCCUCUUAGAGGGUCAUAGAAUCGCUCUAUAAGCGCAAUGAUGGUUGACUUGCCAGAGCCACUUUGCCCAACCAGUGCUGUUGACUUGCCUGGUUGGAUGCUUAAUGAGAAUCCUUUGAAGAUGAUUACAUCUGGCCUUGAAGGGUAUGCAAAGUCGAUUUCUCUGAUAUCCACCUCACCUUUGAGCUUCUCCGGCUUGUAUCCCUCAGGGUUGUCAGGGUCAAUUGCUGUUACCCGGUCAAGGAUAGCAAAGACUGAAGCGACUGCAUCAGCACCCUUAGCUAGGUCUGUUGUCAUGCUACCUGCAUCAGCAAUCACACGCCCUGUGCUUAUCAGAAUCAUGUAGGUCUGGAGGAGUUCGUUGGCGGCAAUGCGGCGCUCAGCCAUGAGCCUGCCACCAUACCAGAAGGCCAGGGCCCAUGUGCAUGUCAUCAGGCCCAUGGAAGUGCCAAGGCCAAGUCCAGCAAUCCAUGAUUGACGGAUGCUUUCCUUCCGCGGUCCAUUCUGUGCUUGGUUGAAGAGGCCUAAGAUGCGCUCCUGGGAUGAGAAGGCCGUGAUGGUACGGAGGUUUGAGACGGACUCGGCAGCUAGCUUGCUACUUUCGGAUUGUGCCUGUAUUGACUUCUUGGACAUGCUCUUCAGUAAGACACUGCGAGCAUAGAAGCAGACGAUGAUGAGAGGCUGCGCUGCUAUCAUGACAAGGGCAAGACGCCAGGCAAUGACCAGACCCAAGGUGCAAGCGAUAAGCACCGAAGAUACUGUCUGGGUCACCAGCGCCAUCCGGUCACCCACUAGAGACCUCACCUAUGCAAAAAAGAACAUAUUAUGCUAGGUUAGAUAGAUAAAUUUCCUUUCAUGUAUCAACAUGCUUAAUUUUCUUUUCUGGUACUUACAACGUUGGCAUCCUUGGCAAGCUGUGAGCAUAUGGCACCGCUGGAAUUCUCAUCGUGGUCGAACCAUCCGAUCUCGAAAGUGAGGAUUUUCCCGAGCAUCUGUUCCCUGACCCUCUUGGUGAGGUAUUCUCCCAUGGCACAGAAGUUGUAAUGUUGUCCAAUAUUGAGCAAGAAAGAGAGCACCGCAAGAGCGACGAAGGUUGGAUGCCUCCAUACACAACUGCACUCAAGCUUCCCAUAAGCGCCUGCCUCCACUCUGGUGCGUUAAGCAUGAGCAGGCUUCUGAACGAUGGCGGAUGAAGCUUUGGCACAUCAAUGCAGUCAGCACUACCCAUUGACCCGUCUGAGCUGGACCUGCUAGCCGAGGAGAAUCUCCUGCUGAUGUUGUGGCUGUUGGGCUGCCCCACAAUGGAAGUACUGCCAGCUCCACUAACCUCAUCAACCUCAUUUGAGUCUCUAGUCUGCUGAAGGCGAACAAGCGAUGAGUAGAGGCCAUUCUCAUCGGCAAUGAGCUCGUUGUGGGAGCCUAGCUCCUUGACCUCACCAUACUGCAUGACAGCAAUCAUGUCAGCAUUGCGGAUAGUGGAGAGGCGAUGGGCAACGACGAUAGUCGUCCGACCCAAGGAGGCCAGGUCGAGUGCCUCCUGUACGACACGCUCUGACUCUGUAUCCAGUGCACUGGUGGCUUCAUCAAGGAGGAGGAUCUUGGGUGACUUCAGGAUUGCUCUGGCUAUAGCAAUCCUCUGCUUCUGCCCUCCAGACAUUUGGACACCACGCUCACCCACCUGUUUUCAUUUCGUAUAUGGACGAAGCUCCACCAGGACGCACGAUGAGGAGGAGAUGACUUGGAAGCCUAGAUCUAUAAAGCCAAAACCCUCUCACUGGGAUGAUCAUCUACACCGCACAAAGGACCUUCUGCACUACGAAGAACCCUGCAUCGAAUUUCACGAGAUUGGAAGGGCUAGUGGUUCAGCUUGGAUGCCAUCUCCUAAGAAACAAGAAAGAAACCCUGAUGCUUUCCUUGGCUCCAUCCGCUUUCCAUCCAUGCUAUCCUGGAUGCUCCAACCAGAUGAUGAUGCCUCAAAUGCCACACGAGGUAGUGCCUGUCCAAGGUUUUGUGAUUUGGACUCUCAAUAAAGAUUCGCGGGCAGCGAGGCAAAAGCACAUGCAGCCAUGGAUUGGUGUAACAGCGAGAGGAUCCAACGAAGAAGGUUGGCCGUCAUCCGCCAAUAUUUGAGUAUGUUGUGCAGAUGCGGUCGCCAGAAUGCACGGCUACCGUGCCUCCGGCCUCAUGUGCUCCGUGGCUGCGACGUCCUUGUAUGCCCACUAAUUAUGGAAACAUGCUUGGACACAAAAACGUUGAUCACGAGACACUAUGCUUGGGCCUCUCGUUGAUCAAAGCUUCAAUUGAUGUCUCUAUUAUUUAUGCAACAUAGAACCAUCAAUGUAAUUUCUAGAUGUCAAUGAUUUUGCAACCGCGGAUGCAUUUUUUGUUCUGGCGAAGUUAGCUUUUGCGUUGUUUGGAUGUCACCAAGGCACCAUACUAUUAAUAGGAAUUCAUUCUCUCA